rnacentral:rRNA from 1 species
GGCCAGCAGCCGCGGUAAUACGAAGGGACCUAGCGUAGUUCGGAAUUACUGGGCUUAAAGAGCUCGUAGGUGGUUAAAAAAGUUGAUGGUGAAAUCCCAAGGCUCAACCUUGGAACUGCCAUCAAAACUUUUUAGCUAGAGUGUGAUAGAGGUAAGUGGAAUUUCUAGUGUAGAGGUGAAAUUCGUAGAUAUUAGAAAGAACACCAAAUGCGAAGGCAACUUACUGGGUCACUACUGACACUCAGAGACGAAAGCUAGGGGAGCAAACAGGAUUAGAUA